UCUUGUAUGAAAUAUUGCACAGACGAUUGGCCUUUACCAACACACGUUCGAUAAUCAUUGGAAAACUUAAGACAGACCUCACCUUAUCUUCAGCAUGCCUGGAGCUGAUUUCCCAGUGUUUGGUCCGCCAUCCAGAGAAGCGGCUACAGUUACAUCAGGUUGAAGAGCACCAGUGGUUCAAUCCAACGAGCCCAAAUCCUGCGCAGCAGCUAGACAAGAGGAGAAAACACUAGAGAAGCGAGGAGGAGAAGAGCAGCAUUUCCAGACAUUCCACAAAACUGUUAAACUUAUUAAUUAUUCCCUCAUGUCAUUCCAAACCCCUAAGACCUUCCUUUUCUUCACUGUCAGUCGUGGAGUGUAUUGAUGAGAGCUCUGUCCUGCACUGUAUGUGUGUCGCACUGCUGACGUUUACCUCAGAUGUGCCCACGCUUUGUUUAAAUGAGAGGAAGUCGCGCAGGUCUCUGGGUUAUACGUCAGCAGCGUGAGCAAAUGCAACACAUAUACAGUGCAGUACAGCACUUCUCAAGUCAUUAUUUUUGUUUUAUA